UCGAACGCGAAGAUCCCGAAAGGGAUUGGUAGCGUGGCAAACGGGUGAGUAACGCGUGGGCGACCUACCUUCGAGUGGGGGAUAACCUUCCGAAAGGAGGGCUAAUACCGCAUGACAUCCCGUGUUUGGAUACACGGAGAUCAAAGCCGGGGAUCGCAAGACCUGGCGCUUGAAGAGGGGCCCGCGUCCGAUUAGCUAGUUGGCGAGGUAACGGCUCACCAAGGCUCCGAUCGGUAUCCGGCCUGAGAGGGCGGACGGACACACUGGAACUGAGACACGGUCCAGACUCCUACGGGAGGCAGCAGUGGGGAAUUGUUCGCAAUGGGCGCAAGCCUGACGACGCAACGCCGCGUGGAGGAUGAAGACCUUCGGGUCGUAAACUCCUUUCGACCGAGAUGAAAAGGCGCCGACCUAACACGUUGGCGUCCUGACAGUAUCGAGGGAAGCAGCCCCGGCUAACUCCGUGCCAGCAGCCGCGGUAAUACGGGGGGGGCAAGCGUUGUUCGGAAUUACUGGGCGUAAAGGGUUUGUAGGUGGCCGACUAAGUCAGACGUGAAAUCCCUCAGCUUAACUGGGGAACUGCGUCUGGGACUGGUCGGCUUGAGGGUCGGAGAGGAACGCGGAAUUCCAGGUGUAGCGGUGAAAUGCGUAGAUAUCUGGAGGAACACCGGUGGCGAAGGCGGCGUUCUGGACGGCAUCUGACACUGAGAAACGAAAGCCAGGGGAGCAAACGGGAUUAGAUACCCCGGUAGUCCUGGC
rnacentral:rRNA from 1 species